GACGAACGCCGGCGGCGUGCUUAACACAUGCAAGUCGAACGGACAGACAGAGAGCUUGCUCUCUUGAAGUUAGUGGCGAACGGGUGAGUAACGCGUAAUCAACCUGCCCUUCAGAGGGGAAUAACAACGGGAAACCGUUGCUAAUACCGCGUACGAUUCAUGAACGACAUCGUUUAUGAAUGAAAGGUGGCCUCUAUGUAUAAGCUAUCGCUGAAGGCGGGGAUGGCGUCUGAUUAGCUAGUUGGUGGGGUAACGGCCCACCAAGGCAAUGAUCAGUAGCCGGUCUGAGAGGAUGAACGGCCACAUUGGGACUGAGACACGGCCCAAACUCCUACGGGAGGCAGCAGUGGGGAAUCUUCCGCAAUGGACGAAAGUCUGACGGAGCAACGCCGCGUGAGUGAUGAAGGUCUUCGGAUUGUAAAGCUCUGUUAAUCGGGACGAAAGAGUUCUGCGUGAAUAAUGCAGAAAAGUGACGGUACCGGAAUAGAAAGCCACGGCUAACUACGUGCCAGCCGCCGCGGUAA
rnacentral:rRNA from 1 species